AACGAACGCUGGCGGCAGGCCUAAAACAUGCAAGUCGAACGCUGUAGCAAUACAGAGUGGCGCACGGGUGAGUAACAUGUGGGAAUAUGCCUUUUGGUACGGAACAACUUUUGGAAACGAAAGCUAAUACCGUAUGGUCCCUUCGGGGUAAAGAUUUAUCGCCAAAAGAGUAGCCCGCCACUGGAUUAGCUAGUUGGUAAGGUAAUGGCGUUACCAAGGCGACGAUCCAUAGCUGGUCUGAGAGGACGAUCAGCCACACUGGGACGUGAGACACGG
rnacentral:rRNA from 1 species